rnacentral:rRNA from 1 species
UACGAAGGGGGCUAGCGUUGUUCGGAAUUACUGGGCGUAAAGCGUGCGCAGGCGGCUUCUCAAGUCAGGGGUGAAAGCCCAGAGCUCAACUCUGGAAUUGCCUUUGAGACUGAGUGGCUUGAGUACGAGAGAGGUGAGUGGAAUUCCCAGUGUAGAGGUGAAAUGCGUAGAGAUGUGGAGGAACACCAGUGGCGAAGGCGACUCUUUGGUCUGUAACUGACGCUGAGGCGCGAAAGCGUGGGGAGCAAACAGG